rnacentral:rRNA from 1 species
UGGGGAAUUUUGGACAAUGGGCGAAAGCCUGAUCCAGCAAUGCCGCGUGUGUGAAGAAGGCCUUCGGGUUGUAAAGCACUUUUGUCCGGAAAGAAAUCCUUGGCUCUAAUACAGUCGGGGGAUGACGGUACCGGAAGAAUAAGCACCGGCUAACUACGUGCCAGCAGCCGCGGUAAUACGUAGGGUGCAAGCGUUAAUCGGAAUUACUGGGCGUAAAGCGUGCGCAGGCGGUUUGCUAAGACCGAUGUGAAAUCCCCGGGCUCAACCUGGGAACUGCAUUGGUGACUGGCAGGCUAGAGUAUGGCAGAGGGGGGUAGAAUUCCACGUGUAGCAGUGAAAUGCGUAGAGAUGUGGAGGAAUACCGAUGGCGAAGGCAGCCCCCUGGGCCAAUACUGACGCUCAUGCACGAAAAGCGUGGGGAGCAAAACAGGAUUAGAUACCCCUGGUAGUCCACGCCCUAAACGAUGUCAACUAGUUGUUGGGGAUUCAUUUCCUUAGUAACGUAGCUAACGCGUGAAGUUGACCGCCUGGGGGAGUACGGUCGCAAGAUUAAAACUCAAAGAAUUGACGGGGUCAUGCUGUUUCCU